rnacentral:rRNA from 1 species
CUUUUAAUUGGAGGCUUGUAUGAAUGGUUGAACAAAAAAUAAGCUGUCUCGAUUAUAAAAAUUGAAUUUAACUUUUAAGUGAAAAGGCUUAAAUAAGAUAGGGUGACGAUAAGACCCUAUAAAACUUUACAAUUAUUUAAUUGAAUGAUGAAUUGUUAGUAUAAAUUUGAUUCAAUUAAUGUUUGUUUCGUUGGGGCGACGAAAAUAUAAUUUUAUAACUGUUUUAUAAUUUUGUAACAAUGAUUUUUGGUGAGGAUGAUCCUUUAUUAGAGAUUAAAAGAUUAAGUUACUUUAGGGAUAACAGCGUAAUCUUCUUUGAAAGUUCAUAUCGACAAGAAGGGUUGCGACCUCGAUGUUGAA